UGCAGGGACAGCCAGGGGCCCCCACCUGGUGACACUGAGGACCAGAAAGGAAGCCCUCAGGCAGGCAGGGCCCUGGCGUGGGGCCUGAGGGGAAGGCUGACCCUGAGCCGGGGAGGGGGGUGCACGGUCCUGGGGGCCGGCUGGACUGGAAGCUCGCGCAGCCUCUCCCAGGGUCUCCCACACCCGUGAUUCUGUCUGCUCAUCUCCACGUGGGCCUUCGCUCAGAGGAAGGCAUAGCAGGGUGCAGUGGUUGUCAAAGUGGGGUCCCCGGGCCCACAGCAUCGGCACCCCCAGGAACUCGUCAGACAAGCGGAAGCUCAGGACUGCCCAGAUCCGGGGCCUGCGGUGUGGAGUGCACGGGCAUCCAGGGGGCCCUGCUGCCGCUCUGUGGGGUCACGGGCAUCCAGGGGGCCCUGCUGCCGCUCUGUGGGGGCACGGGCAUCCAGGGGGCCCUGCUGCCGCUCUGUGGGGGCACG